AGGGCCGGCCGGGCGGUCGCGGGCGCGCGAUGCGCGCCUGAGGAAAGUCCGCGCUCCGGAGGGCAGCGUGCCGGAUAACAUCCGGUUCGGGUGACCGAGGGAAGAGGGCCACAGAGAAGGAGAUUGCCCGCGGUUUGANNNNNNNNNNGAAAAGGUGCGGUAAGAGCGCACCGGCGCGCGCAGCAAUGUGCGCGGCCCGGCAUCCCCCACGUGGAGCAAGGCCAAGCAGGGGCGAUGUGGCGGCCCGCCGCAUUUGAGUUCCGGGUAGGUCGCAUGAGGCGGGCAGCGAUGCUCGUCCCAGAUAGAUGACCGCCGCUUUCGGCGGCGCCGGGAAGAAGCGCUUCGGCGUGUAAACCGUUGCGCUGGCGAGAGCACAGAACGCGGCUUACAGGCCGGCCCGGGCG
rnacentral:RNase_P_RNA from 1 species